rnacentral:rRNA from 1 species
CCGCGGGAUUAGAGUUUGAUCCUGGCUCAGAACGAACGCUGGCGGCAGGCCUAACACAUGCAAGUCGAACGCCAUAGGGAUACGGAGUGGCAGACGGGUGAGUAACGCGUGGGAACAUACCCUUCUGUUCCGAAUAACUCGGGAAAACUUGAGCUAAUACCCGAUACUUCCGCAUGUUUACAUCGACCUUGAAGAAAGAUUUAUCGCCGGAGGAUUGGCCCGCGUCUGAUUAGCUUGUUGGUGAGGUAAUGGCUCACCAAGGCGACUAUCAGGAUCUGGUCUGAGAGGAUGAUCAACCGCAUUGUGACUGAAACACAGCCUCAACUCCUACGGGAGGCAGCCGUGGGGAAUAUUGGACCAUGGGGGAAAGCCUGAUCCUUCCGUGCCGCGUGAGUGAUGAAGGUCUUACGGUUGUAAAGCUCUUUUACCCGGCAAGAUAAUGACGGUCCCUGGAGAAUAAGCCCCGGCUAGCUUCGUGCCAUCACCCGCGGUAAUACGAAGGGGGCUAGCGUUGUUCGGAAUUACUGGGUGUAAAGCGCACGUAGGCGGAUCUUUGAGUAAGGGGUGAAAUCCCUAGGCUCAACCUCGGAACUGCCUUUGAUACUGGGGAUAUCG